rnacentral:rRNA from 1 species
UACAGGGGGUGCAAACGUUGCUCGGAAUUAUUGGGCGUAAAGCGCACGUAGGCGGUUUGUUAUGUCGGAUGUGAAAGCCCUUGGCUCAACUGAGGAAGUGCAUCCGAAACUGGCAAGCUAGAGUAUGUAAGAGGGUCGCGGAAUUCCCGGUGUAGAGGUGAAAUUCGUAGAUAUCGGGAGGAACACCGGUGGCGAAGGCGGCGACCUGGGACAAUACUGACGCUGAGGUGCGAAAGCGUGGGGAGCGAUCAGG